rnacentral:rRNA from 1 species
ACCGGCGCGACGGGUGAAGUAACCGCGUACUACCCAACCUCGCCCAUCACUUGGGGAUAACCUUGCGAAAGUAAGACUAAUACCCAAUGACGUCUCUAGAAGACAUCUGAAAGAGAUUAAAGAUUUAUCGGUGAUGGAUGGGGAUGCGUCUGAUUAGCUUGUUGGCGGGGUAACGGCCCACCAAGGCGACGAUCAGUAGGGGUUCUGAGAGGUUAACCCCCCCACACUGGUACUGAGACACGGACCAGACUCCUACGGGAGGCAGCAGUGAGGAAUAUUGGUCAAUGGACGCAAGUCUGAACCAGCCAUGCCGCGUGCAGGAUGACGGCUCUAUGAGUUGUAAACUGCUUUUGUACUAGGGUAAACUCACCUACGUGUAGGUGACUGAAAGUAUAGUACGAAUAAGGAUCGGCUAACUCCGUG